GCUGGGGUGGCUCAGUGGUAGAGCACUCGCCUAGAAUGUGUAAGGCUCUGAGUUCAAUCCUCAGCACCACA
rnacentral:tRNA from 1 species